rnacentral:rRNA from 1 species
CCUGAGAAACCCAAAAGAUCGAAUGGGGAGAUUCAUCGUCAGCACAUUUUGUAUAUAUAUAAGCUAUGAUGCGGGUUACUACUUGUAGUAUUGCCUGCACAUUCUUGUAUAUUUAGUUGCAAGAUGUUGUCGGCGUGCACUUCUUCCCUAGUAGGACGUCGCGACCCGUUGGGUGUCGGUCUACGGCCCAAGUGAUAGACUUUAAUGUAAUUAAAAAAUCAUUGAAGAUCCUUGGUGUUUUCUGACCGGCUACUCGGCGGUACUCGUACGGUAUUUAGCCGCUAAUUUAUUAGCGUCCAUGUCCGUCACAAGCGAGGCUAAUUUUUUACUGAUAGUGCGGACUUAGUGCCGUCGUUGGUAUUGGCCAGCUGUUGGUUGUACGUGAUUCUGGGACUGGCUAAAAAAAUUAAAAUUACCGGUCAGCGAUGCUACUGCUUUGGGUACUUUCAGG